rnacentral:rRNA from 1 species
UGGGGAAUAUUGCACAAUGGGGGAAACCCUGAUGCAGCGACGCCGCGUGAGCGAAGAAGUAUCUCGGUAUGUAAAGCUCUAUCAGCAGGGAAGAAAAUGACGGUACCUGACUAAGAAGCACCGGCUAAAUACGUGCCAGCAGCCGCGGUAAUACGUAUGGUGCAAGCGUUAUCCGGAUUUACUGGGUGUAAAGGGAGCGUAGACGGAGAAGCAAGUCUGGAGUGAAAGCCCGGGGCUCAACCCCGGGACUGCUUUGGAAACUGUUUGUCUAGAGUGCCGGAGAGGUAAGCGGAAUUCCUAGUGUAGCGGUGAAAUGCGUAGAUAUUAGGAGGAACACCAGUGGCGAAGGCGGCUUACUGGACGGUAACUGACGUUGAGGCUCGAAAGCGUGGGGAGCAAACA